rnacentral:rRNA from 1 species
GUGGGGAAUUUUGGACAAUGGGCGCAAGCCUGAUCCAGCCAUGCCGCGUGAGUGAAGAAGGCCUUCGGGUUGUAAAGCUCUUUCGGUUGGGAAGAAAUUGCUUGGGUUAAUACCCUAAGUAGAUGACGGUACCAGCAUAAGAAGCACCGGCUAACUACGUGCCAGCAGCCGCGGUAAUACGUAGGGUGCGAGCGUUAAUCGGAAUUACUGGGCGUAAAGCGUGCGCAGGCGGUUUUGUAAGUCAGAUGUGAAAUCCACGGGCUCAACCUGGGAACUGCAUUUGAGUCUGCAAGGCUAGAGUGUGGCAGAGGGGGUAGAAUUCCACGUGUAGCAGUGAAAUGCGUAGAGAUGUGGAGGAAUACCGAUGGCGAAGGCAGCCCCCUGGGCCAAUACUGACGCUCAUGCACGAAAGCGUGGGGAGCAAACAGG